GACCGGUUCCUCAAACUGAAAGACUAGAUUCCAUAGCGGUGGGAGAGCAAAGUGAUCUUUAAAUUCCGGGCAGCUGCUGAAGAUUUGGUGGCAGCAGUGGGAUCCAAAGCAAUUUCCAUCAACAUUGAGGGACAAUGAGAAACACAAGCAUGGUGCCCUGCUAACCCUUUUGAAUUCACUGUCUUUCUUGCUGUUUUCAAAGGCCAUUGAUGGAUUGAAGCUUUCCCUUAACUGCAAGACUGAUGUCCUCAUAGUGGCAAAAAACUAUUAGAAAAUGUGUUUUCUACUUGAUAUACCUUCCAUGAUCUCCAGUGAUCAAGAUACCUCUGCUUCCCUGGGAAAAUCUUAUAAGCCUUAAUGAAAACCUUGAAAACUUUUUGGAAUUAUCACUCUCCCCAUCACUUCAAUCAUCAGACAAGGUUGAGAGAACUAAUGGGAUCCUCAAACGGAGCCUUUCUAAACUUGCCAAAACUACUGGGCUUCACUGUUCUAAGAUAUUGCCCUUGGUCUUACUGACUGCUAGAAGUUAGCGCUUUGGGAAGUAUAACCUCACACCAUGUGAGAUAGUCAUAAGCAGACCAAUGUCUAUUGGUGUACAACCUUCUGCCGAUCCCUUGUUGUCUCAUACUGGUAUGACUGACUACUGUACGUCUCUCAUAUCUUAUGCUCAAGCCUGUCAACAGGUUAUAGAAGACUCUGUGGAUCCCAAUUUAAAGGAUCCUGUUGGUCACAGUCUAAAGCCUGGUGACUAGGUAUUCUGGAAACAUCAUCAGAGGAAGACACUUCUUGAGCUCAGUUGGAAGGGACUUUAGCAAGUUUUCCUGACUGCUGACACUGUUGCAAAACUAGAAGACACUGGAGAUCUCUGAAUCAAAUUGACAAGGAAGAGGAGUAGCUGACAUUGAAGUAACUGAUUCAGCCCAAGACAAUGGAUCAACUUAAUAUUUUAACUAAACAUGAAACUCUUUCACCUUGUUUUCUUUUCCUUUACUUUGGCAUUGCCUAGAAAGAUAAUGCCCUCAUCUGUAUCUCUCAGGCCAUUGCUAAGAGGGGGAAUCUAGAAUUUAUUUCAGGUUAGGAGAAAAUCUAACUGUGCCCCUAAUUUUUCACAAGCAAAGUAAGAGAUAUCUCUGGUUGACUCCCCCGAAUUUACAUUGCUGAGUUAGAAAGGACCUACCAAGGAGGCUUUCAUAAUUUAGGAUUCACUCCUUAUAGGAGGACCCUAUUUCCCUAGUUAGGGAUAAAUGCAAAUGAGCCUAUGACCAAGAACUUCUCCUUAACUCUUAAUUAUUGAAGAAUCUGCUGCUGAAGUAAUAGUGGCCCUACAAAGAUUCUUAGACUCUAUGGCCAAAGUUCUUGAUAAUAGAAUAGCCCUUAAUUAUCUUUCAUCUGAGCAAGGAGGUGUCUGUGUUGUGGCCAACACCAUUUGCUGUACCUGGAUUAACACUUCUGGGGAAAUUAAAACUCAAUUACAUAAAAUUGGGGGGGAGCCACUUGGCUUAAAAGGUUCACUUUAGGUGGGGUGCCUGGGUGGCUCAAUUGGUUGAGCAUCUGAUUCUUGGUUUCAGCUCAGGUCAUGAUCUCAGGGUCAUGAGAAUGUGCCCUGCAUCAGGCUCUGUGCUCAUUGCG